UGUUGAAACCCUAACAACCAUCUCUUCUCUUCAUCAAACCAACCGCCAAGGGAGCAUCCCCGGUGAGGGGGGCCACAACAUGGAGGAUGUUGGCCUUGCAGAGGGCCAUGCCCAAGCUUACAGCUGGCCUAGCGGAGGUGACAACCACAAUUGAGUGUCAGCCUUGCGGAGGGCAUCGGUGAAGUAGCUACCGAUCGAGCAAAGCUGGCAAUCAAAAGGCUGCUUGCCUUGUAGCUGGCAGUAAAUUGGCGAAAGCCGAGCUAGCCAAGAAGAUCGGGAGCUUGGCCAAGCAGGGCCGGCAACAAACGAUUGCAGACCUUGUGAGCUGGCAAGAGACCAAGCAGCGGAAGGACAAGCCAUGUGGAGCAAGAUGGCGACUGGUGCGAGAAUUGACAAAUGGGAUCGGAGGCAAUGAGGAUGUUGGCCGAGGGAAAACCAAACGACCUUUUGAGAUCUAGCUGGGACAGAGAUCUGUGAGGCCGUUGGCCGAGUGGGAACCCAAAUGAGCAUAAGAUCUAGCAAAGAUGGAGGCCUACAGGGCUUGGGCCCAAGACCCGACUCCCAUUGAGGUGUAGCUUCUGCAAGGGAUGAAGAAACAGAGAGAGAGAGAGAGAGAGAGAAGAAAGAGAGGCGGGGGGAGCAGCUUAGCCAUGAGGCCAGCCAGGCCACUCCAAGGAGGCAACUUUGCUUUUUUCUUUCGUUUAGGGUGUCCUCCGGUGAGUGAGCGAGAGAGAGAGAGAGGUUCCCCAAGCGAAAAAUUGGCCUGGUUUUGUCUUUCUUUUCGUUAAGGAAUGACUACGUUGACCCUAAAAAGCUACUCUUUUAUGAUCCUAAAAUCCACAGAUUUAGAGAUCAUAGAGUUUUGGGUACCUCGAAGUGGAUCAACCUGGGGUGUUCCUAUGUAAGAAGCCUUAUUUCAAUCGAAGCUCAAUAUGCACUUUAGGUAUGACAAGGGUGCAUUGAUGAAGAUAGAGAAACGUGAGAUAGAGAUGGUGGAACCAAAGCUAAAAUGGAUAGGAUUUCAACAAGGUUUGUGAGGUUGUAUCCGCGGGACACCAUGGAUUCAAACAUAUGCUCAUCUCUUAUUUACGGUCUUAUAUUUAUAUGAGAUAUAUGAUGUAAUUAUUAUUUAUUGAGUUGUGGGUUAAUUCAAAUUAGACAUGUAAUAUUGUAUUUAUCAUUGUGAAAAAAUCACCAUUGGUUUAUGUUA